rnacentral:rRNA from 1 species
GAGUUUUUAAACAGCUCAGGAUGAACGCUGGCGGCGUGCCUAAUACAUGCAAGUCGAGCGAAUGGAUUAAGAGCUUGCUCUUAUGAAGUUAGCGGCGGACGGGUGAGUAACACGUGGGUAACCUGCCCAUAAGACUGGGAUAACUCCGGGAAACCGGGGCUAAUACCGGAUAACAUUUUGAACCGCAUGGUUCGAAAUUGAAAGGCGGCUUCGGCUGUCACUUAUGGAUGGACCCGCGUCGCAUUAGCUAGUUGGUGAGGUAACGGCUCACCAAGGCAACGAUGCGUAGCCGACCUGAGAGGGUGAUCGGCCACACUGGGACUGAGACACGGCCCAGACUCCUACGGGAGGCAGCAGUAGGGAAUCUUCCGCAAUGGACGAAAGUCUGACGGAGCAACGCCGCGUGAGUGAUGAAGGCUUUCGGGUCGUAAAACUCUGUUGUUAGGGAAGAACAAGUGCUAGUUGAAUAAGCUGGCACCUUGACGGUACCUAACCAGAAAGCCACGGCUAACUACGUGCCAGCAGCCGCGGUAAUACGUAGGUGGCAAGCGUUAUCCGGAAUUAUUGGGCGUAAAGCGCGCGCAGGUGGUUUCUUAAGUCUGAUGUGAAAGCCCACGGCUCAACCGUGGAGGGUCAUUGGAAACUGGGAGACUUGAGUGCAGAAGAGGAAAGUGGAAUUCCAUGUGUAGCGGUGAAAUGCGUAGAGAUAUGGAGGAACACCAGUGGCGAAGGCGACUUUCUGGUCUGUAACUGACACUGAUGCGCGAAGGACGCCC